rnacentral:rRNA from 1 species
UUUUUCCUACGGGACGCAGCAGUGAGGAAUAUUGGUCAAUGGUCGGGAGACUGAACCAGCCAAGCCGCGUGAGGGAUGAAGGUACAGAGUAUCGUAAACCUCUUUUGUCAGGGAACAAAGGCGGGGACGUGUCCCCGGAUGAGUGUACCUGAAGAAAAAGCAUCGGCUAACUCCGUGCCAGCAGCCGCGGUAAUACGGAGGAUGCGAGCGUUAUACGGGUUUAUUGGGUUUAAAGGGUGCGACGGCGGGCUGUUAAGGCAGCUGUCAAAGCCCGGGGGU